AACUGCCAGUGAGUUUGGGUUUCGUUUUUAUUAUCUCAUGUUUUACAGGUGUUUUUCCCUAGACUGUGUCUGAGUGGGGGUGUUCGUGGCUAUUGCUGUAGUCCGGUGUUCCUGUUGUUUUUUUGAGCUAGUUAAAUGAAACGCCCUUUUCUUUUGAAACUCGUUUCUCCUGUGCCUGACUCCACACCCACAUCUCCUUGGAGACAUCUGACAGUCCCACAGUUGACAGUGCAUGUCAGAGCAAAAACCAACCCAGGAGUUUGAAGGAAUUGUACGUAGAGUUUUGAUACAGGAUUGUGUGAAGGUACAGAUCUGGGGAAAACGUUUUUGCAGCAUUGAAGGUCCCCAAGAAUACAGUGGCCUCCGUCAUUCUUAAAUGGAAAAAGUUUGGAACCACCAAUACUCUUCCUAUAGCUGGCCGCCCCGGCCAAACUGGUGAAUCGGGGGAGAAGGGCCUUGGUCAAGAUCUUCAUGGUCACUCUGACAGAGCUCCCGAGUUCUUCUGUGGAGAUGGGAGAACCUUCCAGUAGGACAACCAUCUCUGCAUCACUCCACCAAUUAGACCUUUAUGGUAGAGUGGCCAGACGGAAGCCACUCCUCAAUAAAAGGCACAUGACAGCCCGCUUGGAGUUCGCCAAAGGGCACCUAAGGGAUUGUCUGGACUGAUGAAACCAAGAUUGAUCACUUUGGCCUGAAUGCCAAGCAUCACAUCUGGAGGAAACCUGGCACUGAAUACUUUCCAAAUGCACUGUAUGACAUGGCUGACCAAGACCAGACAGAGAGCACACAUUACACCUGUUUUAAGGUCUCUGCACCGGCUGACUCCUUGGACCAAGAGAUUAUGCCCCCAGCAUCUGGAAUAGCCUGCCAAAGAACCUGAGGGGGGCCGAAACUGUGGACAAAUAUUUUUGUUUAAAGAUACUAAAACAUGUUUUUACUAAAAUAUACUUUUCCUUUG